UGGGGAAUAUUGGGCAAUGGGGGGAACCCUGACCCAGCAACGCCGCGUGAAGGAAGAAGGUUUUCGGAUUGUAAACUUCUGUCCUUGGUGAAGAGGAAGAGACGGUAGCCAAGGAGGAAGCCCCGGCUAACUACGUGCCAGCAGCCGCGGUAAUACGUAGGGGGCAAGCGUUAUCCGGAUUUACUGGGUGUAAAGGGAGCGUAGACGGCAAGACAAGCCAGAUGUGAAAGGCAGGGGCUCAACCUCUGGAUUGCAUUUGGAACUGCCUGGCUAGAGUGUCGGAGAGGUAAGUGGAAUUCCUAGUGUAGCGGUGAAAUGCGUAGAUAUUAGGAGGAACACCAGUGGCGAAGGCGGCUUACUGGACGACAACUGACGUUGAGGCUCGAAAGCGUGGGGAGCAAACAGG
rnacentral:rRNA from 1 species